rnacentral:lncRNA from 1 species
UGCUACUUUACUCGUGACGGUGUGUGACGAGCUACCCAAUACUUCCAUCUCUUCCUCUUCUUCCUCACCUUGAGGCUCCAAUCUUUGAAAACACUAGUCACCUUACAAGUUGCUUUGUUUAUCAUAUAAGUCCUAACUUCCUCUCUUACAUGCUCGGGAGCCUUAGGACAUUUUUUAACACUCCUAAAACCUCCAACUAAAUGUUGUUUCAUUCUAUACGCUCCUCCAUUCGUACUUUUAGAACAAAAAUUACACGUCCAAUUACUUUUAUUCAAAGGAUUGGGCGUCCCAUAUCUUUUAGCUGGAUCAUCUCCAUCCGUUGAUGAUGCUACUUGUGAACUAUUUGAAGUCAAUUAAAAAACUGAAAAAAAAAUAAAAAAAUCAGAAUUUAUUUUAAAAAAACAGAAAACUGACAAUGAAUAUUCAUUUUAAAAAAUUCAGCUACCCAAAAAUGAAAUUAAAAAACUGAACAACAAAAGGAAAAAGUAAACAAAAGGAAAAACCGAAAACUUUAAACAAUGACCCAAAAACUAAAAAAAA